GCAGUCGAGCGGUAACAUUUCUAGCUUGCUAGAAGAUGACGAGCGGCGGACGGGUGAGUAAUGCUUGGGAAACUGCCUGAGAGUGGGGGACAACAGUUGGAAACGACUGCUAAUACCGCAUAAUGUCUUCGGACCACAGGAGGGGCUCUUCGGACCUUUCGCUUUCAGAUGUGCCCAAGUGGGAUUAGCUAGAUGGUGGGGUAAUGGCCUACCAUGGCGACGAUCCCUAGCUGGUUUGAGAGGAUGAUCAGCCACACUGGGACUGAGACACGGCCCAGACUCCUACGGGAGGCAGCAGUGGGGAAUAUUGCACAAUGGGCGCAAGCCUGAUGCAGCCAUGCCGCGUGUGUGAAGAAGGCCUUCGGGUUGUAAAGCACUUUCAGUUGUGAGGAAGGUGGGGUGGUUAAUACCCAGCUCAUUUGACGUUAGCAACAGAAGAAGCACCGGCUAACUCCGUGCCAGCAGCCGCGGUAAUACGGAGGGUGCGAGCGUUAAUCGGAAUUACUGGGCGUAAACGUACGCAGGCGGCUAAUUAAGCCAGAUGUGAAAUCCCCGGGCUUAACCUGGGAAUGGCAUUUGGAACUGGUUAGCUAGA
rnacentral:rRNA from 1 species